rnacentral:rRNA from 1 species
AUUGAACGCUGGCGGCAGGCCUAACACAUGCAAGUCGAACGGUAACAGGAAGCAGCUUGCUGCUUCGCUGACGAGUGGCGGACGGGUGAGUAAUGUCUGGGAAACUGCCUGAUGGAGGGGGAUAACUACUGGAAACGGUAGCUAAUACCGCAUAACGUCGCAAGACCAAAGAGGGGGACCUUAGGGCCUCUUGCCAUAGGAUGUGCCCAGAUGGGAUUAGCUAGUAGGUGGGGUAACGGCUCACCUAGGCGACGAUCCCUAGCUGGUCUGAGAGGAUGACCAGCCACACUGGAACUGAGACACGGUCCAGACUCCUACGGGAGGCAGCAGUGGGGAAUAUUGCACAAUGGGCGCAAGCCUGAUGCAGCCAUGCCGCGUGUAUGAAGAAGGCCUUCGGGUUGUAAAGUACUUUCAGCGGGGAGGAAGGGAGUAAAGUUAAUACCUUUGCUCAUUGACGUUACCCGCAGAAGAAGCACCGGCUAACUCCGUG